UUUGUUGCUACGGGCAACAGGCAGGCGCGGUGGAAAGACCAGGAAGGAGAGAAGGCCUGAAAGCGAAUAAGUAAGCAAGUAAGUAGUCAAGUAAGAUUGAGAAGCGAACUGGAGAGGCCAUUUGGCAAACGAAAUAAAAAGGAUAACAUUUGCUGUAUUGGUUGCAAAAAUCUAUCAUGCAGAUGGAAGGAAGUAUGCAGCUGCAACGGAUCUGAAGAAGAAAAAGAUCUGUGAACUGAUAAAAUUGCUCAAGUCCUGCUCUGCUCAAUGCCCUUACAGUGAAUACUUUCCAUGUGCCUCCAUAAUUUACGCCAUGCUACAGAUGGCUGAAGCCUUCAUAUUUAGAGAGAAAGAAAGAAAAUGCCUCUCCAAGUUUGAUAUUUAAAAUGCCUAAUUCUAUUAAUCUGACACGCACACCUUGUCACUAACACUUACUUAUAUCAGGGGUACUUUGUUUCUGCCUAAAAUCAGAUUCCUAAUCAACAUAUGAACGUUUUUUUUCAGUUUGUCUCUUUGCACUUUAUAUCUGAGGAUAUGGACACCCCAUUUCUCCAAGUAAGAAAUGUUUUAGAAUCCAGUCUAUUUCACUUGGAAAGAAGUGAUCGUAAUCAGCCUUCACUUCACAGUUACCAAUUACUAUUUUUCUCAAAGAAUAACAGUUUUGCAUAUAGACAGGUUUAAUGUGAGAGUACACUUUGGAAUGAACAAGGGAAUGGCAGACUUUUUUCGGAUUUAAUUCUCACAUAAUCAGAAUUUACUGAAUUGCUUUCUCAAACAUCUGUUGCAGCCAACCUGGUAUUUUCCAGAUGUUUGGACUACAACCUUCAUCAGCACCAGCUAGAACCUGAAAUUGUGGUAGUUGUAAAUUGGCAAAGACUAAUAAACGAGAUGUCCAUCUGAAUUAGUUUUCCAAACUACAAUGCAUAUUAGGGUAUGGAAGAUGUAUGUCACUCCUCCAGUCUCAUUUUCCCUCAUUGCCAGUAUGGCAGAUGAGGAAGGAAGAACAUCAUUGGCUCAAACUGAUAUCAGAGAAAGAGGCUCUGAUUCAUAGAAUCACAGAGUUGGAAAAGACCACAAAAAUUAUCCAAUCCAGCCCCCUGCCAUACAUGAACACACAGUCAAAGCAUCCCCGACAGAUGGCCAGUCUCUGCUUUAAAACCUCCGGAGAAGGAGACCCCACCAUGCUCCAAGGCAACAUAUUCCACUGUCGCACAGCUCUUUGUGCUGGGGAGUUCUUCCAGGAAAAGAUAUUCCUUCAGGUGGCAUUUCUUUUCCUGAAAU